AGAGUUUGAUCCUGGCUCAGAACGAACGCUGGCGGCAUGCCUAACACAUGCAAGUCGAACGCUAUUUAUAGAGUGGCGCACCACGGGUGAGUAACGCGUGGGAACCUGCCUUUUUCUGCGGGAUAACGGUUGGAAACGACCGCUAAUACCGCAUACGCCCUACGGGGGAAAGGUCCGCCGGAAAAAGAGGGGCCCGCGUCUGAUUAGCUUGCAGUUGGUAGGGUAAUGGCCUACCAAGGCGACGAUCAGUAGCUGGUCUGAGAGGAUGAUCAGCCACACUGGGACUGAGACACGGCCCAGACUCCUACGGGAGGCAGCAGCAAGGAAUUUUGUGCAAUGGGCGCGUAAGGCCUGACACAGCGACGCCGCAUGGGGGAUGAAGGCUUUCGGGUUGUAAACCCCUUUUCUCAGGGAAGAAUAAUGACGGUACCUGAGGAAUAAGUCUCGGCUAACUACGUGCCAGCAGCCGCGGUAU
rnacentral:rRNA from 1 species